rnacentral:pre_miRNA from 14 species
UGACCUGAAGCAGGUAGGCAGUGUAAUGUUAGUUGGCUGCUUUGGGUCAAGUCAGCAGCCACAGGUACGCUGCCACUUGCCUCUGGCUAA